CACACACAGUGAUUCAAUGAAAGAGUAUAUCAAAACACAAUAAACAGUGAAAUAAAGAGAGAGAGAGAGAGCUAAAAAACCAGAUGAAGCGGCGGCAGAUGAAGCGGCGGUGGCGGCAGAUCAAGGACAGUCCCGGCGGCGGCACCGCGGCAGAUUCUGGGGGCUACAGAGCUGCAGAUUUUUUUGUGUGUGAAGCAGCCUUUUUCCAUUGGGUUUGGAUAGUGAAGAAGGAUCGUGGGAGAUUUUGGGGGCAGCGUCUACGCAGAUUUCUGAUUGGUCUAGGUCUUAUUAAAAAUGGAGGACUUGGGGUCGGUGACAGGCUCCCCUGCUGCUGGGGAAAAUCUCAGCAAAAAUGCACUCAAGAAGGAAUUGAAGAAUAAGCAAAAGGAAGAAGAAAGGCGGCGCAAAGAGGAGGAGAAGGCAAAACAGGCUGCUUCUAUGGCAGAUUCCCGCAGCAAGAAAUCUGCAGCAGCUGACGAUGAAGAUAUGGAUCCAACGCAAUACUUCGAAAAUAGAUUGAAGUAUCUUGCAGCUCUGAGGGCAGCUGGUGAAGAGCCAUAUCCUCACAAAUUCCCUGUUACAAUGUCUAACCCUGAAUAUGUAGAGCAGUAUAAAAACAUAGGCAAUGGGGAGCAUCUUGAGGAUGUUACUGUAAAUUUGGCUGGGCGUAUCAUGAGCAAACGCUCAUCUUCUUCAAAGCUAUUCUUUUAUGAUUUACAUGGUGGUGCUGCUAAAGUCCAAGUUAUGGCUGAUGCUAGCAAGUCGGAUUUGAAUGAGGAAGAAUUUUCUAGGUUCCAUUCGACUGUGAAGCGUGGUGAUAUUGUUGGUGUCAAGGGGUUUCCAGGGAAAACUAAAAGGGGGGAGCUAAGUAUUUUUCCAAGAUCGUUUAUAGUCUUAACCCAUUGUCUCCAUAUGAUGCCAAGGCAAAAGCUUAAGGCUGGUUCUGUGUCUGACAAUGCCAAUUUGAAGAAAGAGGAGGCUUGGGUCCCAGGACGUGCCAGGAAUCCUAAAACAUAUAUUUUGAAAGACCAGGAAACUCGUUAUCGACAACGCUAUUUAGAUUUGAUGUUGAAUAUGGAGGUUCGACAAAUUUUUGAGACAAGAACUCGGAUCAUUAAAUAUAUUCGGCACUUUCUUGACAAUCGUGAUUUCUUGGAGGUUGAAACACCAAUGAUGAAUACGAUUGCUGGUGGAGCAGCUGCCCGUCCGUUUGUGACCCAUCACAAUGACCUGAACAUGAAGCUAUUCAUGCGCAUUGCACCUGAGCUCUAUCUGAAGCAGCUUGUUGUUGGUGGAUUGGACCGUGUUUAUGAGAUUGGAAAGCAGUUCAGAAAUGAGGGCAUCGAUUUGACACAUAAUCCUGAGUUCACCACCUGUGAGUUCUAUAUGGCUUAUGCUGACUACAAUGACUUGAUGGAACUCACCGAGACAAUGUUGAGUGGGAUGGUAAAGGAACUUACAGGUGGAUAUAAAAUUAAAUAUCAUGCAAAUGGGCUGGAUGAGGAUCCGAUUGAGAUUGACUUCACUCCACCUUUCAGAAGGAUUGACAUGAUAGAAGAAUUAGAGAAGAUGGCGAACCUCAAUAUUCCCAAGGACUUUUCCAGUGAUGAGGCCAACAAAUAUUUGAAAGAUGCAUGCACAAAUUAUAAGAUCAAAUGUGCCCCUCCUGAAACAACAGCGCGUUUGUUGGACAAACUUGUAGGACACUUCUUGGAAGAGACUUGUACAAAUCCUGCUUUCAUCAUUAACCACCCGGAGUUAAUGAGUCCUUUGGCAAAGUGGCAUAGAACAAAGAAAGGCCUAACCGAGCGUUUUGAGUUAUUUAUUAACAAGCAUGAACUCUGCAAUGCAUACACUGAAUUGAAUGACCCUGUGGUACAACGCCAGCGAUUUGCUGAGCAGCUCAAGGUUCACGCAUCAGUUUUGAUCGGCAAUCUGGUGAUGAUGAAGCAAUGGCUUUGGAUGAAACCUUCUGUACGGCUCUUGAGUAUGGGUUGCCUCCAACCGGUGGUUGGGGAUUGGGUAUUGAUCGGCUAACAAUGUUGUUAACUGAUUCACAAAACAUUAAGGAGGUUAUUCUCUUCCCAGCCAUGAAACCUCAAGAUGAGCCAUCUGCUAAAGAGGGCGGUGCUGGAACCAGCAAUGCAAGGGCGUGACAUGAACUAGCAAAUUGCUUCUGGAGAUUUGUAUGGCACUUUGGUUUUUUACAGAUUGAUACAGAUUUCUCCGUAAACAUUGUUGAUUUGUUUGGUUCGUAGAAAAGUAAAGAAAUUGUGAGGGACCGAGAGAAAGAUCUGGAUUUUUCUCAUUUCUACACAUUAGUACAAAGCUGCUUCUCUCCUCUCUUACAUAUAUA